UGAUAACCUCCUUUUUGAUUAUAACAUCCAGCAUAUAGAACUAUAUCGAUAGAGUUAAUAUCGUCAUAUGCUAUGUUGACAAGACGCUUUGCACCGAUCGUCCGAAGGGGUUUCUCCACAACUAUCAGGAGAAGCGGGGGACAUGGAAAACCGACUGCACAAGACAUGCUUCCGUUUGAUCCUUUCCAGAACCGAUACAAACUUCUGAUCAAGAUGAGCAUAUAUAUUGGAACAGCAUUCUCUCUACCAUUUUUCGCUGUAUAUUUCCAACUUAGAAAAAAAUAUGGCGAAGAAACACAGUGACGGAUUUGUCAGUGGCUUUACUGUUGGGCUUACAUUUUGAAAUAAAAUUUAACCUAAUUUGAA